AUGAGCAUCUCAUAUUGUUUUGCCGGUGUAGCACAUGAGGAGACACAAUUCAUCCUUCAAUCAGCUAUCCCAGACAGAGUGAGGGAAGCACAACAGAAUGACCGGUUGUUGUUGCAGGUGCGGGAGCGCAUCCAAGAAGGUAAAACCGGAGAUUUCACUCUAGAUGGGACUGGAUCGGUUCGGUUUCACGGCCGCCUUUGUGUGCCACAAAAGUCCCAUGUUAAGGAGGAUAUUCUGAGAGAAGCACAUCGUACCCCAUACACAGUUCAUCCUGGAGAGACAAAGAUGUACCAAGACUUGAAGACUUAUUGGUGGAAAAGGAUGAAAGUUGACGUGGCAAAGUAUGUGGCUUCUUGUGGGGUCUGUCAGCUCGUGAAGGCUGAGCAUAAGAGACCCGCGGGUUUGUUGCAGUCCUUAGAGGUUCCAGAGUGGCCAUGGGAUGAUGUCGCCAUGGAUUUUGUUGUUGGCCUACCUCGCACCCGAAGGGGAAAGGAUGCAAUUUGGGUGGUGGUGGACCGACUUACCAAAGUGGCUCAUUUUAUUCCUAUCCGUACCACAAACUCAGCAAGUGACUUGGCACCGGUAUAUGUGCGUGAGAUAGUAAGAUUGCACGGAGUUCCAAAAACUAUUACUUCUGACAGAGAUGCCAAGUUUGUAUCAAGGUUCUGGGAGAGCUGGCAGAGUGCAAUGGGUACACAGUUGAGGAUUAGCACGGCAUUUCAUCCCCAAACAGAUGGUCAGUCAGAGCGUACCAUCCAAACUUUAGAAGAUAUGUUGCGAUGUUGUAUCCUAUUGUGGCAAGGGAGCUGGGAGGAUCAUCUACCACUUGUGGAGUUUGCUUACAAUAAUAGUUAUCAAGCUAGCAUUCGAAUGGCACCUUAUGAGGCCUUGUAUGGAAGAAAGUGUAGGUCUCUAGUAUGUUGGAAUGCAGUGGGCGAGAAGGCAGUGCUGGGACCAGAUUGGGUUCAACGAACUACAGACAGAAUAGCUGAAAUUAGACACCAUAUGCUAGCAGCCCAGAGUAGGCAAAAGAGCUAUGCCGACCCCAAGAGGCGCAAUGUGGAGUUUCAGGAAGGAGAAGAGGUACUUCUGAGAGUCUCACCAACCAAGGGUGUUAUCAGGUUCAAUAUCAAAGGAAAGCUUAGCCCACGGUACAUUGGACCCUUCUUAAUAGUGGCACGAGUAGGGAAACUAGCCUAUCGUCUUGAGUUGCCUGAGUCAAUGAAAGGUGUGCAUAACGUAUUCCAUGUAUCCAUGCUACGUAAGUACUUCCGAGAUCCCGAACGACAAUUGACUGUGGAGCCAAUUACAAUUGAGCAAGAUCUUACCUUUGAGGUUCGCCCUGUGAGGAUAUUGGAAGAAGUCUGA
rnacentral:rRNA from 1 species